rnacentral:tRNA from 1 species
AGGAAUGUGGCUCAGUUGGUAGAGUGCUUGUUUAGCAUAUAAGAGAUCCUGGUUUGAUUAGCCAGCACCCUAA